rnacentral:rRNA from 1 species
GGGGAUUCGACGUCACUCCAACCCCUGUG